UAUUCGCCGAGUGCUAUCACGUAGUAGAAAAUGACGUCAAUUGUUCAACUGCGCCGCUGCGAAGCCAACUAAACGGGCGCGACGCCAACAUUACAAUCAGCCGACUGUCGAGCGUGCGUUGCAUUCAUCGGCUCCGGGCUGUAGACAGACGUGCGCCGGCGACUGGUAUGGCUACUGCGUGUGGGCAAAGAGCGGCCGGCUCCGAAAGGGACCAAGUUAUGCGAGGUGCGUUCGCCUUGUUUACAGAGGCUCCAAGAACCAGCAAGACUGCCCUGCUGCCAGCAGCCAUUAGUCAACCAUUCCCUUGUACGAAAUAAAUUUGCUCUAGAAGCUCCUGUACCUUGAAA